rnacentral:rRNA from 1 species
GCGGCGUGCCUAAUACAUGCAAGUCGAGCGAAUCUGAGGGAGCUUGCUCCCAAAGAUUAGCGGCGGACGGGUGAGUAACACGUGGGCAACCUGCCUGUAAGACUGGGAUAACUCCGGGAAACCGGGGCUAAUACCGGAUAAUAUCUAUUUAUACAUAUAAUUAGAUUGAAAGAUGGUUCUGCUAUCACUUACAGAUGGGCCCGCGGCGCAUUAGCUAGUUGGUGAGGUAACGGCUCACCAAGGCGACGAUGCGUAGCCGACCUGAGAGGGUGAUCGGCCACACUGGGACUGAGACACGGCCCAGACUCCUACGGGAGGCAGCAGUAGGGAAUCUUCCGCAAUGGACGAAAGUCUGACGGAGCAACGCCGCGUGAGUGAUGAAGGUUUUCGGAUCGUAAAACUCUGUUGUUAGGGAAGAACAAGUAUCGGAGUAACUGCCGGUACCUUGACGGUACCUAACCAGAAAGCCACGGCUAACUACGUGCCAGCAGCCGCGGUAAUACGUAGGUGGCAAGCGUUGUCCGGAAUUAUUGGGCGUAAAGCGCGCGCAG